CACGUAGGGUGCGAGCGUUGUCCGGAAUUAUUGGGCGUAAAGAGCUCGUAGGCGGUGUGUCGCGUCGGCCGUGAAAACCUGCAGCUUAACUGUGGGCUUGCGGUCGAUACGGGCAUCACUGGAGUUCGGCAGGGGAGACUGGAAUUCCUGGUGUAGCGGUGAAAUGCGCAGAUAUCAGGAGGAACACCGGUGGCGAAGGCGGGUCUCUGGGCCGAUACUGACGCUGAGGUGCGAAAGCUAGGGGAGCGAACAGG
rnacentral:rRNA from 1 species